GCUCCGCCGAAUCUCUGCCCCCAUGACUGCCAGCAAUUGAUUUCACAGGUGGCCGGCCAGUUCCCUUUGCGAGAGGUUGCAGCUGAGAAGGAUAUUAUCUGAGUAGCCAUUCUCUCACUUUCUGAUCUUCCUCAAAUUGAAAAAAUGCCUUGGCUCUUUCUCUUCAGACCCUUAACCAGUAGCCACCUUCUCCCUUAUCCCUGAGAGCCCAAAUCCUGAGAAUGUGAGCUCCAAAACAGCCUUUCCCAACUAACACUCAUUCUCAGGCCACCCAAAGACCGCCUUCCUCAACAGCCUCUUCCAUGUCUGCAUUCAUUCUACCCCUGAGGGAGGCAGCAGAAACUGAGGGCAUAGUCCGAGUCCACGUCCCAUUCUUUCCUUCCAGCUCCUAGCCACCCACUUCAUUUCGCAGUUGGCCCCAGAUAUUUGGGGAAAAAAGUUAAAAAAGGCUGAGAAUGGCCCUCAGAUCCUGGUCCAAGAUCCAGUGAACAUGGCCUUUAAAGUUUUUAAUGCCUGUGAGGAGCAGGCAGAGUUAUAUUGAGAGGCCCGCCUUCGACAGAAGGUUGACCUGCAAACUCAAGUCCUGGUUGUGGCUCUGCGGCCGACAGCAGCUGCCCAUGGCCCCAAGGGGGCUGUGCUUGGUGGGGGUGCAAGGACAAACGCCACCCAGAGAAUGCUUCAAAUGUGGAAAUGAAGGCCACUGGGGCAAAGCAGUGCCCCCAGCCCUGGGCUCCAACCAAGCCCUGCCCGGUGUGCGGUCAAAGCGGUCACUGGAAAAGUGACUGCCCCUGGAAAAGUGGUGGGCCCUCUGCGCCCCUGCAUGGAGGGGCUGCCCUUCCAGGUCAUGACCCACUCCUGGCCAUGCUGGGACUGGACGAAGACUGAAGGAGCCUGGACUUGACGACCCCCAUCACCCUCGCCAAGCCCAGGGUCACGCUGAAGGUGGUGGGUAUGUGGGUCUCCUUCCUGGUCGACACGGGGGCUACCUUCUCUGUCCUGCCCUCCUUUUCAGGGCCCCUUUUUCCUUCUACGAUCUUGGUCAUGGGUAUUGACGGCAAAUUCAUCUGCCUGCUGACCACCAGACCCCUUCCCUGUCUCCUUGAUGAUAGCCCUAUAACCCACUUCUUCUUAGUCAUGCCUUCGUGCCCCGUACCCCUUUUAGGACGAGAUAUUCUCACCAAACUAGAGGCCACUCUGCAGCUCACUCGGAGCCCUUCAGCCUCCUUGCUCCUUUUGCUCCUGGCCCCCUCCAUGGGGACGCCAAUCCCCCACUGCCAGGCGUCCCCUUAUGGGGCCCAGCUGUCCCAGACCACAGUCACCUACCUCAGUUUCGCUCUCUCACCCCACAGGGCUGCGCCAUUCCUUGGACUGUAGAUGCCUUAUCUCCUUAUCACCUCUGUGACUGACCCCUCCUCUGAACAAGAAAUGUUCUCCUUCCUCAGGCUCACUAGGUACUCUCACCUCCGGGUUCACAACUGUAGUCUUCUUGCAAAGCUCUUCUAUGAGGUGACAUGGCAAAGGGACCCCCUCACUGAGCCUAGUAGAUCCCACGGCCAACUUUAAUGGGCAUUAAAGGGCAUCCCCUUUAAUUUCCUUAAAACUGCUCUGACCUCGGUGCCUUCUCACCCCCCCCCCACCCCACCCUUCCAAAAGGAAACUUUCCUGACUGCACAGGUUUACUCAAUAGUCCAGCUAUUAUCAGAAACUGAGAUCAUUAUCUCUAGGGGAAAAAAAUCAGCAGCUUUAAAAUCCAAGUGGCUAGAGGCUUGGGAACAGGGGAGCCUGCUCCCUCCCCCCCCACCACCUUUUCUCCAGCCUCAUAUCCAGGUCCCUGGAUUCCACUGCUCCUUUCCUUCCCUUUUUCUUUUCCCUUGGAUAACAGCACAUUCUAACAUUCCCUCCCACUUUCACUGCAAUACCUACCUCUCUCAGGCUCACCAAAUGCCUCCCACCAUCCCUGAAGAGGACUCAGCAACACCAUCCAGAACCUGAUGACCCAUCAUUCCUCACAGGCUCUUACCUGGCAAGGGAUCCUCCAAUUUUUACUCUGGAAGAAGCUCAGGUUUUUAAUAUUUUAAGUGAAACGGACAUGGAAUGAUAAGGGAGUCAUCAAUUCUACUGUCUGGGAUGGGAAAUCCUCUAGUGUCACUCUCUAUUUAUGAACCCUGGAGCUACUCCUUUGCCCACCCUCAUCAACACAACUUUCCAUCUACUCUCUAACAUCAUUCCCUCAUUCUCUACAUCCUGCUGGAUUUGUCUGUCACUGGCUCGAACCCUCAUCAUAGCCACUCAAUUCCAACCUAUUGGACCAUCUAACUAAACUCUCUUUCUAGAAAUGCGCAGCUCCUGGCCGAACCUCCUGCUCAUGGCCCUGACCAGAAUCCGGGCUACACCAAGGAGCCCCACCUUCUUAAGCCCUUUUGAACUCCGAUAUGGGAGACCCUUCUUGCUCAACCACCGUCUCCUACUGAUCCUCCUCCCCUGGGUACGUAUCUCCCAUGUCUGUCCUUACUCAGGCAGCUGCUCCGAGGACACACAGACAGGUUUCUGCCCAAGCCAGAGCCGACCGACCAGGGCUCGUGAGGACCAGCCAUUUACCCUGGGGACUCGGUCCUCCUUAAGAAUCUACAUCCAAAAAAAAGCAACCAUGUUUGUUACAUUUGUUGCUUGGUGCUAAAAAAAAAAAAAAAAAAAAAAAAAAAAAAGAAUCUACAUCCAAAAACUUUGGAGCCUAGGCGGACAAGACCUCACACUGUAAUCCUCACAACACCCACUGUGGCCAAGCUGCUUGGCGACCCGUCAUGGCACCACCUCUCCAGACUCAAGAGGACCCCGGAGCAGCAUGACUUCUAUGAAUCCCCCUGCCUCCUCAAGUUCAUCUGCUCCCGGAUCAUGGAGAUGUCAUGGGUGACUGUAAAUCAGCUCCUGCUCCAUCCCUACACUCGGCUACCCUUCGACCUGCCUCUGCCUGACCCUGGCCUUUAAAUCGCCCACCCCCUCAUCGUCCCUGGUCAGCUGGAAGUAGUCAGAACAAACCGGCGCCCCCAUCACCAAAAGGCUGGGAUGUUAGGUCAACAUGCCGACUCCCACGGCGGGAACUUCCUCAGCUGAAUACCGUGACGACCCCCACAGCGGGAACUUCCUCAGCUCAUGCCCCCCGCCCCUCAUUAAACACCUGUAUAAAAAGGAGCCCCCCCUUCCCUGUUGGCACAAAUUCACUGGCCCUGCCUUUGGGGCUCAUGGAUUUAGCCCGGGGAAGCAGAUUAAACCUUUCCUUUUCUUUCUUC